rnacentral:rRNA from 1 species
UAGUCCACGCCGUAAACGAUGAUCACUCGUUGUUGGCAAUACAUCGUCAGCGACUGAGCGAAAGCAUUAAGGUGAUCCACCUGGGGAGUACGCUCGCAAGAGUGGAAACUCAAAGGAAUUGACGGGGGCCCGCACAAGCGGAGGAACAUGUGGUUUAAUUCGAUGAUACGCGAGGAACCUUACCUGGGCUUAAAUGCAUAACGACAGAUCGGGAAACUGAUCUUUCUUCGGACGGAAUGCAAGGUGCUGCAUGGUUGUCGUCAGCUCGUGCCGUGAGGUGUCAGGUUAAGUCCUAUAACGACGCGCAACCCCUGUUGUUAGUUGCCAGCAUGUAAAGAUGGGAACUCUAACAAGGACUGCCGGUGCAAACCGUGAGGAAGUGGGAUGACGUCAAAUCAUCACGGCCCUUACGUCCUGGGCUACGACACGUGCUACAAUGGUAGGUACAGAGAGCAGCCAUGUCGCGAGGCAGAGCGAAUCUAUAAAACCUAU